UAUUAGCUAACUAACGUUAGCUGUAGUGCAGGCGAACUCAUGAGCUGCUAAAUGAGCUAACUUAGUUGGCUAGCUAGCUGUCUAGCCAACUUCAAAUACUCUAGAUAGCUAGCUAAGUUAAUUAAAUCUCACCAUUUUCCUAACUUCAUAUUAGUUAGCUAUCUUGAUGUGGUUUUUACAGUGAUAAACUCCAAAUGCAUUUGUAGGUAACGUUAGCUAGUUAACAGCCAUGGAGGAGGGUGAUAGGAUAGCAGCCCGACUUUUUAAAAUUUUAUUUCACCUUUUAUUUAACCAGGUAGGCUAAUUGAGAACAAGUUCUCAUUUACAACUGCGACCUGGCCAACUGUCAGUGAAAGAGUAGGCUAUUCUGGAUAGGGCAGGUACUUUUGUGUGGUUCCUGUCCCUAGAAGUGAGGAUGGAGAUAAUAGUAACAAUAUUCAGUGCGGUGUAAUUUGACUAUAAUGAAGUCUGUUUCUUGUGAGGUUUUCUGUCCUCAAAUAAAGAGCUAUGAAACCUGUCUACAUAUGAAGAGCAGUGGUUCACAGUCCUGGUCCUGGGGACUCAGAGGUGCACAUUUUUGUUUUUGCCUUAGCACUGCACAGCUGAUACAAAUGGUCAACUCAUCAUCAAGCUUCAAGUGAUGCUUUGUAACUGGAGAUUCCUUCAAAAUGAUUGCCUACAGUUACUGUGUAGGGCACUGCAAGGAUGGGUGACCAGGGCCAUCUGGGACUGCCUGCUGGAGGAAUUCAGUUGGGUGAAGGCUACCUGUGUCCUGCAUAACUUUGGGGUGGCAGGUAGCCUAGUGGUUAGAGCAUUGGGCCAGUAACCAAAAGGUUGCUAGAUCAAAUCCCUCGUGCUGCCCCUGAACAAGGCAGUUACCCACUGUUCCUAGGCCAUCAUUAUAAAUAAUAAUUUGUUCUUCACUGGCUUGCCUAGUUAAAUAAAGGUUCAAUAACAAAAUAACUUAAUGAGGAUGGACACGAGGCUCUGCAGGAUGUUUCAAGGAUGGGGUCCAGCAACGCAACAAGACGGAGAUCUUCACCUCCUACUUCUUCGAAGUGGGUGCUGUUCCCUGGCAACUCCAUAGACUAUGCACAACCAAAUGCUCUUUUAAGAGUCAUUCACAUUGCAAUAACAGUGUUCUUCCAUUUACUUACUGCAGUUAUUCAAUUCCCAGUUUCUCUACUUCUCGGGUGAGGCUGCUGUUUAAGUAAGGGUGUGAUGUCUGUACAAAAAUAAAACAGCCAUUUCAAAUCACUCAUACUGAAAAUAUGUAGAACAAUUAGACACCCUAUAACCCACACCUACACACAUGUAUCUGAUUGAUUGAUUGUGUUGCUCAGGUGUAUAACUGGCUCCUUCCACCUUGAAAGAAUAGGCAAGAUGGCCAACCAUGGAGAAUAGCAACACUUCAUUAUUUCUAUAACUACGCUAUAUUGUUUGUCCUCGUGUGUCCGUUCAUGUUUUCAGCAUAAAGUACUCUGCAGCCGCUUAGUGUGGUGUGGACACCAGGUGAGGCCACACACACAGAUUACUGUUCAACACUUUAACUACCUUAUUUUCACAAUCAGUCUCUCUUCACUUCAUCCCUUUCUCCUCUUCUCCACAAAUCCUCUAGGUUAUAUCAGCUGUGUCAGUGAACCCCUCCUGCAUCUGAACUGUCUACAUAGAAUUGUAAUUAGUGUUAUGUUUUACGGACUCCUGAGAGAACCAGCAAACCAGGCUGUAGUCUUGUGAAACAGUGGAUGUAAAGAAUCUAGCUAGCUUAAGCAUUUACUGCUAAUUUUAAUGUAUCAUUUUGGAAACUUGCCUUGCUGAUAUUUGCCAUGCAAUGCAGCUGGAGUAACGUAGCUAACUAUUUUCUUGCUUAUUGUGUAGUGGAGGAUAAAAAAAUACCUGUAUGCCUGUGGAUGUAUAGCUAGAGCUAUGUAGCUGAUCUGUGGAGGGAACCUUAAAUAUUAGGCCAGAACCUAGCUAUCAUAGCCGGUUGUAUCGACUUAAAAACAUUAAUGGUAAUAACAUUGUAGCCUGUAAUUUGAAUAUUCACUGAUCAUGCACUCUACCUUGGCAAAUAAAGAGCGAGAUCGCAUUAUUAA